UUACUUUUAGGGUCAGUCUGUUUUACUUGGAAGAGGUCCGGGUGGAACAACAUUGAGAUCGUUUUCGACAGGAAACUGCAGCAGCUGACUUCCAUUAGAGCUCAAUUCAGUCUGCCGCCUUCAGCACCAGGAAGACAUGGCACAGAAAAAGCACUAGAAGGGGCCACCAGGCCCCUAAUGGAGAGUGAUUUAUUGAAUGGCUUUGGCUUGCUGUUGGCCCUGGGCCUGUCUCCUAAUUGAGCACCUGGUGCUGCAUGGGAAAAGUUAAUAUGAUAUAAAUUGAUACUGUGGCAGUGGCCGU
ensembl:lncRNA